AGUGAACGCUGGCGGCAUGCCUAACACAUGCAAGUCGAACGGCCGCACAGUGAGCUUUCUCUCCUACCGUUGGCGACUGGCGGGUGAGUGACAAGUACAUCGCAAUCUUCUUUUUCUUGGAGGACAACGUGAGGAAACAUACGCUACCACAGCAUAUGAUGUACGGGUGAAAGCAAGGGAUCUUGGCAGCUUUCGUGUCUCUAUGAGACGGUGUCGCAUUAGAUAGUUGGCGUGGUAAAGGCCCACCAAGGCAACGAUACGUAGCUGGUCUGAGAGGAUGAUCAGCCACACUGGAACUGAGACACGGUCCAGACUCCUACGGGAGGCAGCAGUAGGGAAUAUUGCACAAAGGGCGAAAGCCUGACGGAGCCACGCCGCGUGAGUGAAGAAGGCCUUCGGAUUGUAAAGCUCUUUUGUUAGGGAAGAAAAACUGUGGGAGAAUAUCCGGACGUCUUGACGGUACCUAAAGAAUAAGCACCGGCUAACUACGUG
rnacentral:rRNA from 1 species